CCGGAAGUUGCGGAAGUUGCACUUCCGCUCUCUGGCCUCGUGGGAAGGUGUGCUUUCCUCAGCGUGGAAGGGGUGGCGACCUUUCGGGUUUGGGCUUCAGCAUGUGUUGCGGGAGGAGAAAGGCAGGUGCUUAUGCUACUGAACUAAAUCCCCAGCCCCAAGAGGUUUCUUCUGGUUCCAGAUGAAUUUUAGGAGUGAUUUCUCUAGAUAUAUGAGAAUUCCAGUGAAUCCAUCUGGGCCUGGGCUCUUCUUUUCUUGAAGUGUUGCCCCUGUGCCAUGCCACUCUGCCUUGGAGGCAGCUGAUUGUGGACUGAAACCUCCACAAACUGUGAGC